rnacentral:rRNA from 1 species
GAUGAACGCUGGCGGCGUGCUUAACACAUGCAAGUCGAACGGAGUGUAAACGCUGAAGCGAUUUCGGUCAAUUCUUGUUUAUACUUAGUGGCGGACGGGUGAGUAACGCGUGGGUAACCUGCCGUAUGCAGGGGGACAACAGUUGGAAACGACUGCUAAUACCGCAUAAGCGCACAGAUAGGCAUCUAUCAGUGUGAAAAGAUUUAUCGGCAUACGAUGGACCCGCGUCUGAUUAGCUAGUUGGUGAGGUAACGGCCCACCAAGGCGACGAUCAGUAGCCGGCCUGAGAGGGUGAACGGCCACAUUGGGACUGAGACACGGCCCAAACUCCUACGGGAGGCAGCAGUGGGGAAUAUUGGACAAUGGGGGAAACCCUGAUCCAGCGACGCCGCGUGAGUGAAGAAGUAUUUCGGUAUGUAAAGCUCCUAUCAGCAAGGAAGAAAAUGACGGUA